UACAGAGGCCCCGAGCGUUGUUCGGAUUCAUUGGGCGUAAAGGGUGCGUAGGCGGUUUUCUAAGUUUGAUGUGAAAUCCCGGGGCUUAACCCUGGAAUUGCAUUGAAUACUGGGAGACUAGAGUACUGGAGAGGAAACUGGAAUUUACGGUGUAGCAGUGAAAUGCGUAGAGAUCGUAAGGAAGACCAGUGGCGAAGGCGAGUUUCUGGACAGUUACUGACGCUGAGGCACGAAGGCCAGGGGAGCAAACGGG
rnacentral:rRNA from 1 species